rnacentral:rRNA from 1 species
UACGUAGGGGGCAAGCGUUGUUCGGAAUUACUGGGCGUAAAGGGCGCGUAGGCGGCACGGCAAGUCGGGGGUGAAAGGCCUGGGCUCAACCGAGGAACUGCUUUCGAGACUGCCGAGCUAGAGUGCGGAAGGGGCAACUGGAAUUCCCAGUGUAGCGGUGAAAUGCGUAGAUAUUGGGAAGAACACCUGAGGCGAAGGCGGGUUGCUGGGCCGACACUGACGCUGAGGCGCGAAAGCCAGGGGAGCAAACGGG